GAUCUGAUAGCUCAGCUGGGAGAGCACUAUCUUGACAGGGUAGGGGUCGGCGGUUCGAACCCGUCUCAGAUCACCA
rnacentral:tRNA from 2 species